rnacentral:rRNA from 1 species
GAUGAACGCUGGCGGCGUGCCUAAUACAUGCAAGUCGAGCGAACAGAUGAGGAGCUUGCUCCUCUGACGUUAGCGGCGGACGGGUGAGUAACACGUGGAUAACCUACCUAUAAGACUGGGAUAACUUCGGGAAACCGGAGCUAAUACCGGAUAAUAUAUUGAACCGCAUGGUUCAAUAGUGAAAGACGGUUUUGCUGUCACUUAUAGAUGGAUCCGCGCCGCAUUAGCUAGUUGGUAAGGUAACGGCUUACCAAGGCGACGAUGCGUAGCCGACCUGAGAGGGUGAUCGGCCACACUGGAACUGAGACACGGUCCAGACUCCUACGGGAGGCAGCAGUAGGGAAUCUUCCGCAAUGGGCGAAAGCCUGACGGAGCAACGCCGCGUGAGUGAUGAAAGUCUUCGGAUCGUAAAACUCUGUUAUUAGGGAAGAACAAAUGUGUAAGUAACUAUGCACGUCUUGACGGUACCUAAUCAGAAAGCCACGGCUAACUACGUG